UCCUCAAAACCUUCAACCCAGUCUCUGCGACGGUCGACGGCAGCGGCACGACGACCUCGUCUCGUUCUCGCGACAUCACUCUGUCAGUCUCGCUUUUGGUGGCGGAGCAGAAGAAAGAAAAGAAAAAAAAUAAGAAGGGGUCGGGAAAGAGAGGAGAAAGAAGAGGAUAUGGAUGUUAAGAAAGAUAGAGAAGAAAAGAAGAAGAAAUAGGAAGAGGGAAGAAGUCAAGUUUCACCAGUCCUGCAGCUGCGUCAACCGAGCUUGGAAGCUUGGGUCGCAUCGCUGGGAGGAUCCGAAGCUCAAUCAGGUCCACGUGGCUGAAAGGAGAGGCCUUUAGCUCUUCAAUCUCAAAAGG